GUACUUGCUUUGGUAGUACACACUAAAAUUAGAAUGAUACAGACAAGAUUAGCAUGGUUGCUCAGCAAGGAUGACAUGCAAAUUCAUGAAACAUCACAUAUUUUA
ensembl:snRNA U6 U6 spliceosomal RNA